CCCUGCUUUCUAGAGGGGUGGUGAGGCUGGUAUUGAAAAUGGGGCGCCUGUCCAGGAUCCCAUGUUUGGUGCCAGGUUAUCAGCAGAGUCCAGAACAUCGCAGGUGUAUUUGAUCCAAACGUUCCAGCCCCGCAGACGCUUCCCUCUUGCUCUCGGCUCCUUCUGGAUACCUUUAUUUCAUUUUGCCUGCGCUCCACUCCAGCUUAACUGGCUUUCUCUCACCUCCUCCCCUUCAUUGCCAGCCUCUGCCCCAAGCUCUGCUGGCUUCACUUAAUUGCCUUUGCUGCUGGCUUGGUCCCAACCUGGACAUACUCCUUCUGGGAGCCAGUCCAGGCUCCUCCUCCCAAACCCAGCUCCAAACUCAUCCCUCCAGGAGGCCCUUAGAGAGCAAGGCCAGGAUGCCCAGGGUUCCUUCACUUCACACCUUCCAGUGCUCCUGUGGUUGGCAUCUCUGAGGAGUGUCCUGUGUGAUGCUGCGUUGGACCCCAGGAAAUGGAAGGAGGUACCUGGUGAGCUGCUAUUCUUCUUGCAAGACGAAGCUUCAAUUUCACUUCGUUGGUGGCACCUUCCCAGGUUCCCACUCCCCGAGGAAAAUUAAUUACCCCGUGCUGGAACCACUGUUCUCUCUCCCACGAGAUUGUGAGCCUCUCCCAUGUCUGGCUUAUAUGGAGGAGGCUCUGGACUGGUCUUGUUCUGGAGAAACUGGACACUUGGCAUCUUCCUCCAGGGAGCCACUUGGUGUGAGUUUUACUGUUGGCGGAGGGAACAAGACAUCACACAUAUUAUAACCUCUCUGGACAGCUGAAAAAGUGAGUGAUAUUUGAUAGUCAAUGGGACCAGUCCUCCAAAACCGUCUUUUUCAACACGAGCUUGUUUCUUCCUCCCUCACUGGAUCACUGGGUAAUUACCUCAAUUCUUCAUUUAGUUUGGCUAUGAAGACAAGGCCGUAAUGAGCUCAGCACCCUUGACAAUCUCAACUCCAGGGUGCAGCAGCCGAGCAGUGGCUGUAGGAGAGGAAUACAGUAUUAGGCUGCUCAUGCUGCGUAACGAGCAUGUCAGAGCCACUGAGUCGGCUGUGUCUGUAGUCAGGGGGAGAAGGGAGAGGCCCUCCACCAGCCAGGGGACCGCAGAGGCUUUCUGCAGCAGCUCCAGAAGCCUUUAUUAAAAGCUUUGUUCCUCCCCCCCUCCCUUUGUCCUCCAGAAAUAAUGACCUUUGUGUGGCAACUUUUUGUAAUAUCUCAUUUCCAGGCCCAGAGCAGAUGGUUCUGGUGAUUUGAGAAGGCUUAAUGGGAGGAUUUGGGGAACCUGGGCCAUAUCUCUGGUGAAUAGACAUAAAGAGUGAUUUCGAGUUUCUAUAGCCAAGGGUUGGGGGUAGUCUCAGAAGGUUCCAGGGCUUGCCUGGGUGUAGAGGCUUAUCUGCAACCCCCCCAGCUGCUCAGUAGCCAAGAAGAAUGCCCCGAGAUCCUGGUCCUGAUAGCCUCCCCUCUGUCAGAUUAUGCACAUUGCAAGAAUGACUUCUUUUUUUCUUCAGUAUUUCAGAUGGUUCCUCUGAGGGAGAGCACAGAUCAGAAAAUGCUACUUGGACUUAUGUAUUCAAGUUUAUUUCAUUUCAUUUGUUUAUCACUGAUAUCCUGUUCAAGGUGAUGGAGGUUGGAUAUGCAGCCUUCUUUUUCAGCUCUUCUGCAAUAAAAUAAAAUGGUGGCAUGCUCA